rnacentral:RNase_P_RNA from 1 species
AAGGUGGGGCGAUCUGCCGCCCGUAAGGGAGGAAAGUCCGGACAGGACAGGGCAUCCCGCUGCGGAAAGCGCAGGUAGGGGUAACCUUACGCCCGUCGUAACAGAAAAUGACCGCCGAAAGGUAAGGGUGAAAACGCGGGGCAAGAGCCCACGACGCACGGCAGCGAUGUCGUGCGGGUACGACACCGGGACCUGCAAGACCAAAUAUACUGGCAGACGAGGACGGCCCGUCCGAUGCCAGGGGGUAGGUUGCGAAGAUAAAUGGCAGAAAAAACGUGAACAGAAACCGGCUUACGGCUCCACCUUUUCU